UACGAAGGGUGCAAGCGUUGUUCGGAAUUACUGGGCGUAAAGAGCGCGUAGGCGGUCUAUUAAGUCAGGCGUGAAAGUCCCGGGCUCAACCCGGGAAUUGCGUUUGAUACUGGUAGGCUUGAGAUUCAGAGAGGUGAGUGGAAUUCCUAGUGUAGCAGUGAAAUGCGUAGAUAUUAGGAGGAACAUCAGUGGCGAAGGCGGCUCACUGGCUGAAUACUGACGCUAAGGCGCGAAAGCGUGGGGAGCAAACAGG
rnacentral:rRNA from 1 species